rnacentral:rRNA from 1 species
GGACAACAGUUGGAAACGACUGCUAAUACCGCAUGAUACAUUUGGGUGGCAUCAUCUGAAUGUCAAAGAUUUAUCGCUGAAAGAUGGCCUCGCGUCUGAUUAGCUGGUUGGUGAGGUAACGGCCCACCAAGGCGACGAUCAGUAGCCGGACUGAGAGGUUGACCGGCCACAUUGGGACUGAGAUACGGCCCAGACUCCUACGGGAGGCAGCAGUGGGGAAUAUUGGGCAAUGGGCGCAAGCCUGACCCAGCAACGCCGCGUGAAGGAAGAAGGCUUUCGGGUUGUAAACUUCUUUUAAGAGGGAAGAGCAGAAGACUGUACCUCUAGAAUAAGCCACGGCUAACUACGUGCCAGCAGCCGCGGUAAUACGUAGGUGGCAAGCGUUGUCCGGAUUUACUGGGUGUAAAGGGCGUGCAGCCGGGAAUGCAAGUCAGAUGUGAAAUCCAUGGGCUUAACCCAUGAACUGCAUUUGAAACUGUAUUUCUUGAGUACUGGAGAGGCAAUCGGAAUUCCUAGUGUAGCGGUGAAAUGCGUAGAUAUUAGGAGGAACACCAGUGGCGAAGGCGGAUUGCUGGACAGCAACUGACGGUGAGGCGCGAAAGUGUGGGGAGCAAACAGGAUUAGAUACCCUGGUAGUCCACACUGUAAACGAUGAAUACUAGGUGUGCGGGGACUGACCCCCUGCGUGCCGCAG